CAUAAAAAAGGUUGUCAUUCCUCCAAGGGCCCGUUGUUUACUUCUGUUAUCAUUAAACCUAUCUUUGUCUGCAAAUCUGAAGGAAGUAGAUGUUGCUUGUUCCAAUCUAAGCUUUCUUAAUUUGAGCAAUUGUUACUCCUUGGAAAUUUUGAAGCUUGAAUGUCCAAAGUUGACUAGCCUCUUCCUUCAGGUAUGCAUUUCGUGGAAC